rnacentral:sRNA from 1 species
UCAAGAAAUGGCCUGGAGUUAACGACUCCAAG